AAGGCAGCCCUGCACCGCUCCAGUGACAGCCGCUGGCAGCAGCACGACAGCGGCCCGACUGCGAUCUUCGUUAGAGCCUAGCCCUCCCACUAAUUGUGUUUGCUUUGGCACAGCUUUCUGGCUCUAAUUUGUGAAGUUGCAGUGAAACCCUCCCUUUGCAUUUCCUGCCUGGGGAGAGUAACCUCGUUGCAUAUUGUGUUCAGCCCUGGAAGUUCACCUUUUCUAUGCUUGUGAAGUUGAGCUUGACCUGUCUUCUUAAAGGGCCGGGGGAAGCUUUGAAGCAGGCCUUAGUGCUUGUCUGUUUAGGAACAGCAGCGACAGAAUGCCCUAAACAAUAAGCUGGAGGAUUAAAAUGAGGGUAAACAGAAGUUCAUUUCUUUCUCCCUCUCUCUUUCUCUCUCUCUCUCUUUUUUUUUUUUUUUUUUAAGGAAGGAUGGCAGCAUAAUAGUCUUGUUUCCAUUGAUGAUAACUUGCUGAUAGAAAAAUGAGAACAAGUUUACAGUAGCUUUGACAUUAGUUACCUUUAUUCAGCAUGCUCCAGCUGCAUUGAGCCCUCAGGAAGCCUUCACCAUGCACACAGUUUGUUCUUGGGUGUGAAAGCAAACAGUAUUUGAGUUGGCAGUAACUUCCCUUUUAGAGAAGUUUGCUGCCUCGGCAAGAAACCGCAGCGUGAGCUUUCUGCUGUUGAAUGUUUCCACUGGCAGGAUGGCCUUUUUCCACAUUUCCUUGGUUUAAGGAAACAGAUUUUGAACUUUUUUUUUUUUAAGACAAAAUGCCAACAUUUAACAGCUGGAGUUAGCAUAUAAUUUAUGGGCUUUGCUUUAUGCUCUUUCGGAUGUAUAAAAAUUAAAAAUGUGCAAUUAUUCUGAAGUUACGCGAGUUGUUGCAAAAGGGCGAUUAAAAAGUGGGACCUUUGUUACGAGCGUUCUGAGGGAGUCAGUGUUAUCUAAACAGCUAUUCUUAAUUACUCUUUCCUUAAUGACUCUUAAUUGUUAUAAUUUACUGAUGUUAUUUCACCUACCGUAUAGGGGAUGUUUAAGGAAGCGCUUUGUUUCUCCCUUUGAUUAACACGGGGCAGCCGGUGCAGUCGGAGCGCUUUAUGGUCACUUUGUAAUCACUCCCGCAUGCAGACUUGUCAGUGCUCUCCUACACCAGUCCCCGCACCAUGGCAGCUCCUGUUGGGGUGUCUGAGUGGGGAGAGCAGUGUGAGGGUCCUCACCAGCGGCAGAGGCUCCGAAAUCUGGCAGAAAAGACAUCCAGAUGCUGACCGGGCCCACGUUCACCUCUGUUUGCUCCCUUCGGGGAUGGCCUCUUUUCUUCUUAGCUGACAUCCUGCAUGUGCUGUUGGAACUUUAAAAUGCAUCUCACUGGCUGCAAAUUUCAGAUCCCAGCCUCAGCAGCUAGAAUUAGAAACAGAUCAGAUGCAGGAAAUUAAUGCAGUCAGCCAAUAAAUUAUGGAGCAACAGCCACCAUAAGUACUGUGGUGUUUUUGUUCUGUCAGUCGAGGGAUACUGGUUUUGUUUUGCUAAACAUCACCCAGCUAACAUCUGUAUAAACACUGAGAAUGCAUCACAGGUCUUUAGCAAGCAAGUCAUCGCAGAGGAGGCUGCAAUGGAGUUGUCUCCUUGCUUUCCCAAGCUGGGAAAGCGGGGAGGGCGAAAGAGAAGGGGAAGGAGAAAGUAAAUACAUUAUCCACAAUGCUGUUCACAUUAGAAUCACUUAAUUUGUAUUUUAGAUUUAGGGGUAAAAAUAUGUUGUAACGAUGAACAGCAGUGUGUGAGAAAUGUGUAUUUUUUAUUUUCGGAGACAGUAGCUGUUUGUCAUUUUUAUCUGUGCGACUUGUAGACUUGAUUGGAUUUAUUAUGUAUGCUGCAUGUUUAUGGCAUUUUUAUUGUAUGCUGUUAAUUCGUUGUAACUGCUGCCACUUUCUUGCCAAGGACCCCUUGAAAGCAAGUAUGUGUCAACAGUUACCUUCCAGUUUAAUAAACGUAAUGCUGCUUCUCUUAGGUUUGGUAGAGGCCGUGGUUGUGCCCUCCUCACUGUGAGCUUUUUAACUCUGUUAUAGCUGAAGAAAGUUGAUGCGACUCAGGCGUAGUCCUGCAGCAGAUGUGUUUGAAGUUAAAGCUCUGUCUUUAAUUAUGUUUUAAACAAAGCGACUCCAGCCUACAGAUAUGGUCAGCGUAGUUUAUGGCAAGGAGAGAAAAAGGAAAAAAAUCUCAUGCAUGUUUUAAGUAAGCAAGUCAAUCACCUUGUAAGACAAAAUAUAAAGCGACUUUUAAAUGUGAUGCUAAUGGUGAAAAACUAGAUUACAUCUUUUUGUAUUUUUGAAAACCAGAAACGUUGAUAAACUAUCUGAACAGGAUUAGAAUGCAGUUAAUGGCAAUAAAGCCGAUAGUCUUUUUAUGAUGAGGAUUAACCAAGAUGAGGUUUCAUUUUCUGCAAAAGAUACAAGAAUAGAAAUAAUCCCAAAGGGAAAAUCAUGCGCUGUAGAUACAUAUUUGUGGCACAACUGGAGGUGGGACUAAAACAAUAGAUUAAAGGUGCUCUGUGGUAAACUAAAGGGUGAAGUUGGUAUAUUUUUAUUCUGUUUAAUUUAUUUGUCUUUAUUGUUGCUUACUGGUGAUGCCUGGUCCACGAGGUCAGAUAUAUGCUUAACUUCCUCGGUAAUGAGGCAGAAACAUUCUCUAGAGAAAUAAGCAAGAGUUCUUUGAAUGGGAUCAGCUCCAUCUCCUUCCUUGUGAUCAUGGGAGUGUGGUCAUCCAGCUUACAACGUAUGGUGAUGUGUGUUGGGUGCUCUGGGUGAGACACAAUGCUCCCAUCCCCUGUCAUUAGGUGGGGCCACCUGUGGAGGAUGGCUGGAUUUUAGUGCUCGCAGAUGGCACAGUGCAGCCUUCCUGGGUUCAGGCACAGCGUCUCCUUUAACUCGCAGGUCCCACUGUGUCCUGCAAGAGCCCUGCACUGAAAUCCUCUCUGGGAAAUAUGGGUAGGUUUUGCUGUUGAUGAACCUUGUCUGAUCCCGCUCUUAGUAUUUCAUAUCCGGAGACCAGAUUGUUCUGCUCUAUCGUACGAGCCAAACUGAUGUUUGGGUCAACUCAUUUCAUCUGUGGUAUGAGCUGAGUUUCAUUAGCUCUCCACGUGUUUCACCUUGGAGUUACUGUGUUCACCUCCCGUUCCACCUUGCCCAUCGCUGUGUGCCUAUUUUGUACUGCAGUGGUUGUCUGUGUGUGUGCUGAGAAAUUGCUCCUGCUUUCUCCAGCACCACAGCACUACCAGCAGAGGUACCUGGUUUAUAUCCUGCUUGUGUUAAGAGCUGAUGUAAUGCUGAUGGGCCACGUAGUGCAGAUUCAGAAAGUGGGAAAACCCCUCAUUAAGUGAUUCUGAUAUGCAUUAAAAAAAUCACGUAUUGCUAUUGUGUGUAUUUGUGCUUAUGUGCACACGUACAUGCAUUCAUACAUGCUCUCUGCCAUCCCUACACUUAGUUUUUAUAUGAAGGGCAGUAUCUUAUCUAUGACAAGGUGCAAAACAGUGACUUCAAAAUAUUCUUUCUUGCUUUUCCACCUGCCUACGAUAGCAG
rnacentral:lncRNA from 1 species